CAAACUAAAGCUUGAAGCGUUUUAGUUACAUUAAAGAGUUUAUUGUAAAAUCAAUAUAGUUUGA
rnacentral:tRNA from 1 species